UACGGAGGGGGCUAGCGUUGUUCGGAAUUACUGGGCGUAAAGCGCACGUAGGCGGCUUUGUAAGUUAGAGGUGAAAGCCCGGGGCUCAACUCCGGAAUUGCCUUUAAGACUGCAUCGCUAGAAUUGUGGAGAGGUAAGUGGAAUUCCGAGUGUAGAGGUGAAAUUCGUAGAUAUUCGGAAGAACACCAGUGGCGAAGGCGGCUCACUGGACCGGUAUUGACGCUGAGGUGCGAAAGCGUGGGGAGCAAACAGG
rnacentral:rRNA from 1 species